rnacentral:tRNA from 1 species
GUGGGCAUAGCUCAGUGGUAGAGCACAAGCUUUGCAUGCACAAGAUCCUGGGUUAAAUCCCCAGUACCUCCA